GAAGUCGGCCGCCUGCCGCACCCCCGAAACCAACUCCUCCACCGCGGCGGCCGCCUCGCCACCGACCAUGGCGCCCUCCGCCACCGAGGGCCGCACCCGCCCGCCGCCUUCCCGACUCGCACCGCGCCACUUCCCGGCGGCUAGAGCGGCCCCAGCGGCGCGCGACUGCUGCGGACGACCGGCUUGGAGCGCCCUCGCCGGGAGCGGCGGCCUCACCGGCCCCGGCCCUCACCUCCGCAGCCCCCGGCGCCUGUCGUGCGUCCACCCAGGAGCCGCAGGGGCAGUUCUCAGUCGACCUGCGGGGAACCGGACUCCUAAAGAAAUGAGAGUCCCUUGGCACUGCAUUUAAUUGGAGAGGAGCUCAGAGACAGGAGAUUAUAAUUAUGACGCCUGAAAUGUCAAGCUCUUCAAAAGUCUGCCAUUGCCCUCACUGUCACCCUGUACAGCUCUGGGAACCCAAACCGUGUGGCCCCCCAGAGCAAGCCCUGGGUCUCUCAGCCAGGCCUCCUCUGGGAAAUCUGAGUGACGUUGACACGCAAGCAGCAGGAAGAUGCACAGUGAACUGAGGAGCCUGUGCUGAGCUCAGAAGAGGAGUAUUCUUCAUACUGGCCUGGACUACUCCUCCUGUGCCUGUCUACCAGUUACUCCUCAUCCAGUUCCACUCCUACUUCCACCACAGAGCCUUCCUAUCCACCUCAGACCACACCGACUUUCUAUGAGGCAUGUUGGAAUUUAAGGUGCUCCUCCACCCCACAUAACACGGAGCUCACUACCUCCCGGGACACCCCUAGGCAAUAAUGGUGCCCUCUUCAGAGCCUUGUUGGAGGUCACAAAAGACACGAUUCCUGCUAAGUACCUAGCAUAGUGUGAGCGCUCUGAAAAUGCCAGCCUUUGUUACUAUUUGCAGCAGCUCUGAGUUUCUUCACGGAAGCAUCACUGCCCCCUCAACACACACCCACACCUGGUGCAGCUCAAGCAUCCCUACCUUCUGCCUGCUUCUGGAACAGGGGUCAACAAACUGUUUGUAUCAAGAGUCAAACAGUUAAAUACUUGAGACUUUGAGACGGUCUAUGGUCCAUACAGUCUCAAUCACAGCCCCUCAACUCUGCCUUGUAAUAUGAAAGCAAAAGACAAUAUAUAAGUGAAUGGGCAGGGCUGUGUUCCUUGGUUUAUGAACACAGAAAUUUGACUUUCAUGUAAUUUCCACAUGUCAUGAAACAGUAUUCUUUAACUUUGUUUUCAACCAUCAAAAAAUGUAAAAACUAUUCUUAGCUCAUGACUGUUCAAAAAUAGGCACAGGGCCAGAUCAGGCCCUCAGACCAUAGUUUGCCAAUUCCCUGUUCUAGAAUGUGCUGUCCUGGGGCCCAUGCUCCCAGUGUCACUGAGGUAGAAGUUGUGUCCUCCUGAAAUACGGGUAGUAAUAAAGUAACUAACUGUUCUGGUUUGCCCAA